rnacentral:rRNA from 1 species
GGACUACCAGGGUUUCUAAUCCUGUUUGCUCCCCACGCUUUCGUGCCUGAACGUCGGUGCUGGACCAGGAAGCCGCUUUCGCCACUGGUGUUCCUUCCGAUAUCUACGCAUUUCACCGCUACACCGGAAAUUCCGCUUCCCUCUUCCGCACCCUAGCUACGCAGUCUCAAAUGCAAUUCCCAGGUUGAGCCCGGGGCUUUCACAUCUGACUUACGCAACCGUCUGCGCACGCUUUACGCCCAGUAAUUCCGAUUAACGCUUGCACCCUCUGUAUUACCGCGGCUGCUGGCAC